rnacentral:rRNA from 1 species
AACGAACGCUGGCGGCAUGCCUAACACAUGCAAGUCGAACGAUGCUUUCGGGCAUAGUGGCGCACGGGUGCGCAACGCGUGGGAAUCUGCCCUUGGGUUCGGGAUAACCGUUGGAAACGACGGCUAAUACCGGAUGAUGACGUAAGUCCAAAGAUUUAUCGCCCAGGGAUGAGCCCGCGUAGGAUUAGCUAGUUGGUGGGGUAAAGGCCUACCAAGGCGACGAUCCUUAGCUGGUCUGAGAGGAUGAUCAGCCACACUGGGACUGAGACACGGCCCAGACUCCUACGGGAGGCAGCAGUGGGGAAUAUUGGACAAUGGGCGAAAGCCUGAUCCAGCAAUGCCGCGUGAGUGAUGAAGGCCUUAGGGUUGUAAAGCUCUUUUACCCGGGAUGAUAAUGACAGUACCGGGAGAAUAAGCCCCGGCUAACUCCAUGCCAGCCGCCGCGGUAAUAC